rnacentral:rRNA from 1 species
GACGGGGCCCGCACAAGCGGUGGAGCAUGUGGUUUAAUUCGAUGCAACGCGAAGAACCUUACCUGGGCUUGACAUCCCGGGAAUCCCCUGGAAACAGGGGAGUGCCCUUCGGGAACCCGGUGACAGGUGCUGCAUGGCUGUCGUCAGCUCGUGUCGUGAGAUGUUGGGUUAAGUCCCGCAACGAGCGCAACCCUUGUCUUUAAUUGCCAUCAUUUAGUUGGGCACUUUAAAGAGACUGCCGGUGUUAAGCCGGAGGAAGGUGGGGAUGACGUCAAGUCAGCACGGCCCUUACAUCCUGGGCUGCACACACGCUACAAUGGGUGAUACAACAGGUUGCAAUAGAGCGAUCUGGAGCCAAUCCCUAAAAUCAUCCUCAGUACGGAUUGCAGGCUGCAACUGCCUGCAUGAAGUUGGAGUUGCUAGUAAACGCAGGUCAGCACACUGCGUUGAAUACGUUCUCGGGCCUU